CCCUAAUAAUUAUGGAGCUGCAGAUUAUAAUAGUAACUUGAAAGAGGCCAAGCAAAAGAAGGGUGAUGAUUGAAAGUGAAAGGAGUGAGUGGGGAGAGACCCCCAUAUAUCAUUCACUCAAAGUGUCAGAGACCCAUGUGACAGUGUGGCCCUUUGCCCUUCAUGUCCACCUAAAAGAGACCGCAAAUUGAGACAAAAGAGUCCCCUAAAGCGACCUUUAAUCACAUGAAUGCAUCAGCCCUUUCUUCAGACACCUCUCCCCUCAUCUGUUAUAUUUUUUUUGUCAAAUUUCUUUUUUUUUUUUUCUGUCUGCUUUUACCAUAUAAUCUAGUGGAGUACAGUAGUAACAACAAAGAAAAAUAAGUAAAGAAAGGCAGAGAGAAGCUCAAAAGUGCCAAAAGGCCACAGAUCUAUUUAAAUAGCCACAGAUCCAUCACCAAAGGCCCCAUAAGAAACAGUGACAUUUUCCAUUUUAUAAGUGAGCGUAUGUGGUAGUGAUAUUUCAGCUACUGACCUAUUUAAAUUCUGCUUCUGUACAUGCAACUGUGACUUAAAGCCUUACAUGAGAUGAAAAGCGUCUCAUUUUUCUCUAGUCACUUUUGUUUCCCUUUGUCUUAAAAAGCAACAG